UGGGGAAUUUUGGACAAUGGGGGAAACCCUGAUCCAGCCAUCCCGCGUGUGCGAUGAAGGCCUUCGGGUUGUAAAGCACUUUUUGCAGGAAAGAAACGUCAUGGGUUAAUACCCCGUGAAACUGACGGUACCUGCAGAAUAAGCACCGGCUAACUACGUGCCAGCAGCCGCGGUAAUACGUAGGGUGCAAGCGAUAAUCGGAAUUACUGGGCGUAAAGCGUGCGCAGGCGGUUCGGAAAGAAAGAUGUGAAAUCCCAGAGCUCAACUUUGGAACUGCAUUUUUAACUACCGGGCUAGAGUGUGUCAGAGGGAGGUGGAAUUCCGCAUGUAGCAGUGAAAUGCGUAGAUAUGCGGAGGAACACCGAUGGCGAAGGCAGCCUCCUGGGAUAACACUGACGCUCAUGCACGAGAGCGUGGGGAGCAAACAGG
rnacentral:rRNA from 1 species